ACACCUCAACUCUCAUGGUUUGCCAUGAUGAGCUUGGACUUUGGGGGUCUUGCUGGCCUGUGGUCAGCUCCUCUCAAACGAAUCAGCUUGCCAGUGUUUGGUGGCGUCACAGGUGUGAUAACUAUCUACGCUUGUGGUUUUCCGUCAGAUCACCUUCAGCAAUGGAGGUCCACUGGAGCUUAUAAACGUCUCUCCUUGGUGAGGACAGCUCUUUGAAU
rnacentral:misc_RNA from 1 species